GACGAACGCUGGCGGCGUGCUUAACACAUGCAAGUCGAACGAAGUGGCGAACGGGUGAGUAACGCGUAAUCAACCUGCCCUUCAGAGGGGGACAACAGUUGGAAACGACUGCUAAUACCGCAUACUGAAGGAGGGGAUUGCGUCUGAUUAGCUAGUUGGAGGGGUAACGGCCCACCAAGGCGAUGAGCAGUCGCCGGUUUGAGAGGAUGAACGGCCACAUUGGGACUGGGACACGGCCCAGACUCCUUCGGGAGGCAGCAGUGGGGAAUCUUCCGCAAUGGACGAAAGUCUGACGGAGCAACGCCGCGUGGUUGAUGACGGCCUUCGGGUUGUAAAGCUCUGUUAAGCGGGACGCGGUACCGGAAUAGAAAGCCACGGCUAACUACGUGCCAGCCGCCGCGGUAAUUC
rnacentral:rRNA from 1 species